rnacentral:lncRNA from 1 species
GGGGGGUAAGAUGUACGCAGUCCAUACCUCUACCUCUAAAGAAGUAGAAAGGCUAUUUCCGAUAGACCCCCGGCUCAAGUCACGAGAUACCACACAAACUCAUAGUAAAGCACAGAACUAGAUUACAUAACAUAAAUACGGCACCCAUAAGUAUUAGAAAACAGAGGAAAGCACACAGAUUCGUAAUAAAACAUGGAACACGGAAUCAUAACAAGAAUAAAACCCCCACCAAGUAAUUCCCUACAUUAGCGACCCAAACCGGCCCUAGUCUUCUGCCCUAAUUCGCGUCCUCCAGACCUUCCUAUCUAGGGUCAUGUCCUCGGUGAGCUGUAACUGCUCCAUGUCCCGCCUAAUCACCUCACCCUCCA